rnacentral:rRNA from 1 species
GAGUACGAUAGCAAGNCUGAAACUCAAANAAAUUGACGGGGGCCCGCACAAGCGGUGGAACAUGUGGUUUAAUUCGAAGCAACGAGAAGAACCUUACCNGGUCUUGACAUCUUCGGACCAUCNCAGAGAUGGGACGUCCCCUUCGGGAGCAGGAUGACAGGUGGUGCAUGGUUGUCGUCAGCUCGUGUCGUGAGAUGUUGGGUUAAGUCCCGUAACGAGCGCAACCCUUGUUCUUAGUUGCCAGCACUUAGGGGGGCCCUUUAAGGGAGACUCCGGGGACCAACCGGGAGAAAGGGGGGGAGACGUCCAAUCAUCAUUCCCCNUAUGACCCAGGGCUCCCCCGGUGUACCAAGGGCAGGACAAAGGGGAGCGCAACCCGGAGGGUAAACCUAUCCCACNAUCUGUUUUCAGUUCGGAUUGCCGUUUGCAAAUUGGCUGGGGGAAAGUGGAAUUGGUAGUAAUUGCGGAUCAGCAAGGCGCGGGGAAAACGUUCCCGGGCCUUGGACCCCCCCCCCGUCCCCCCCAGAGAGUUUGUAACACCNGAAGUCGGUGAGGUAACCUCUA